rnacentral:rRNA from 1 species
AGUACCCCGCCUGGGGAGUACGAUCGCAAGGUUGAAACUCAAAGGAAUUGACGGGGGCCCGCACAAGCGGUGGAGCAUGUGGUUUAAUUCGACGCAACGCGAAGAACCUUACCAGGGCUUGACAUCUAUCUGAAGUGUUUUAGAGAUAAGACAUUACCUUCGGGACAGAUAGACAGGUGGUGCAUGGUUGUCGUCAGCUCGUGUCGUGAGAUGUUGGGUUAAGUCCCGCAACGAGCGCAACCCUUAUUCUUAGUUGCCAGCAAGUGAAGUUGGGCACUCUAAGGAGACUGCCGGUGACAAACCGGAGGAAGGUGGGGAUGACGUCAAAUCAUCAUACCCUUUAUGUCCUGGGCUACACACGUGCUACAAUGGCCGGUACAACGGGUUGCGAGACUGUGAAGUUUAGCCAAUCCCUUAAAGCCGGUCUCAGUUCGGAUUGCAGGCUGCAACUCGCCUGCAUGAAGUCGGAAUCGCUAGUAAUCGCGAAUCAGCACGUCGCGGUGAAUACGUUCCCGGGCCUUGUACACACCGCCCGUCACACCACGAAAGCCGGCAACACCCGAAGUCGGUGACUUAACCGUAAGGAGAGAGCCGCCGAAGGUGGGGUUGGUGAUUGGGGUGAAGUCGUAACAAGGUAACCAAGGGCGAA